GACGAACGCUGGCGGCGUGCCUAAUACAUGCAAGUUGAGCGCUGAAGGUUGGUACUUGUACCAACUGGAUGAGCAGCGAACGGGUGAGUAACGCGUGGGGAAUCUGCCUUUGAGCGGGGGACAACAUUUGGAAACGAAUGCUAAUACCGCAUAAAAACUUUAAACACAAGUUUUAAGUUUGAAAGAUGCAAUUGCAUCACUCAAAGAUGAUCCCGCGUUGUAUUAGCUAGUUGGUGAGGUAAAGGCUCACCAAGGCGAUGAUACAUAGCCGACCUGAGAGGGUGAUCGGCCACCUUGGGACUGGGACACGGCCCAAACUCCUACGGGAGGCAGCAGUAGGGAAUCUUCGGCAAUGGACGAAAGUCUGACCGAGCAACGCCGCGUGAGUGAAGAAGGUUUUCGGAUCGUAAAACUCUGUUGGUAGAGAAGAACGUUGGUGAGAGUGGAAAGCUCAUCAAGUGACGGUAACUACCCAGAAAGGGACGGCUAACUACGUG
rnacentral:rRNA from 1 species